GCCAGUGUCUUUUCUCCAAAGGAAGACAGCACUUUGAAAAUUCUUUCAAUGGAUUUUUUUUUUCCUUGAAAGAUUGUACUGGGGGAAAACGAAAACGAUACUUCUAUUAGUUACAUAGUCUCCAAUCCCUCACUAGCACCCCCCAGGUUUUAAGAUCGCUCUCCUAGGCAGGCUCAGGCGGGCGCAAAACGGCGGUGACAAAGCCGCGGCUGCCACCUCCCGGAGUGGGAGUCCCUCUUGCCAGCCCACCCCUUGACUCGUGAGAGCGUAAAAGUUUAUCUCUGCUCAAGCGUUCCGAGCGCCCCCAGGUAAAGGUGGAAGUAAUGGCCAAGCUGUAUUGAAGAGAAUAUCCUCACUAACUCCUCGUGUAUAACUACAGAAUUCAUGCCUACAUGGAACAAUAGUAAUAUGCUGUGAUGCCAUGUUCCUGCCACUACUUCUCCUUAGAAGACAUUAGCCAAGUGGCUAUGGAUUUGCAUCGCGGGUUGCAGCAGAUGGGUGCAGACAAGAGGAACCUCAGACUUGAUCUAUGGUCAUUGUUAUCUUCUAGUAUGACACUCUACUUUCCCACUGAACUCUUCCUGCGCAAGCUGAGAAGCUUGGCUAUAAUUUGGUCUUUUAUUUUUAUAAUAGGCUGUUGUUGAGAAAGGAGCUUUGACAAUAGAAGUAACCAACUAGCAGGUCCAUUUCUACUGUGGAAAGCAGCUGGAAACUCAUCCCUAUGGAUGAAAAGAGAAGGGAGCACCAAUUGCUGCGAUGAAGUGUGUACCGCGGAUUCCGAAGGGAGCUGUGAAGGUUCUUCUCAGAGUCGUCAGUGUGUAAAGACUGUGCUCCCAAGGUCUCGCUACAGUCAUACUAGCAUCUUGGAUUCCGUGCACAGAACUUGGCAGUUUUGAACAACUAUUUGUGAUUGAAAAAUGACCAGCAAAUUUAAGGUCCCAAAGCUCAGUUUCGGUACCAAAAAAGCCGCUGUCUCGCCCGCUUGCCCCUCUCUUCCCGUGCUUCACACCUGGAUGUUGGACCCCCAUUACUGUUCUGUGAGUUUUUAUUAAAAUAAAGAAAAAACUUAGU